UACGUAGGGUGCAAGCGUUAAUCGGAAUUACUGGGCGUAAAGCGUGCGCAGGCGGUUUUGUAAGUCUGACGUGAAAGCCCCGGGCUCAACCUGGGAAUUGCGUUGGAGACUGCAUGGCUUGAAUCUGGCAGAGGGGGGUAGAAUUCCACGUGUAGCAGUGAAAUGCGUAGAGAUGUGGAGGAACACCGAUGGCGAAGGCAGCCCCCUGGGUCAAGAUUGACGCUCAUGCACGAAAGCGUGGGGAGCAAACAGG
rnacentral:rRNA from 1 species